GCACGGGUGAGUAACACGUGACUAACCUACCCUGGAGUGGGGGAUAACUGAGGGAAACCUUAGCUAAUACCGCAUAAUACCUACGGGUCAAGGAGCAAUUCGCUUUGGGAGGGGGUCGCGGCCGAUUAGUUAGUUGGCGGGGUAAUGGCCCACCAAGACAGUGAUCGGUAUCCGGCCUGAGAGGGCGCACGGACACACUGGAACUGAAACACGGUCCAGACUCCUACGGGAGGCAGCAGUGGGGAAUUUUGCACAAUGGGGGCAACCCUGAUGCAGCGACGCCGCGUGAACGAUGAAGCCCUUCGGGGUGUAAAGUUCUUUCGGCAGGGAAGAAACAUGACGGUACCUGCAGAAGCAGCUGCGGCUAACUACGUGCCAGCAGCCGCGGUAAUACGUAGGCAGCGAGCGUUGUUCGGAGUUACUGGGCGUAAAGGGUGUGUAGGCGGUCCUCUAAGUUUGGUGUGAAAUCUCCCGGCUUAACCGGGAGGGUGCGCCGAAAACUGGGGGACUAAGUGCGGGAGGGGAGAGUGGAAUCCCGGUGUAGCGGUGAAAUGCGUAGAUUCGGAAGGAACACCUGUG
rnacentral:rRNA from 1 species